rnacentral:rRNA from 1 species
GACGAACCGUGCGAACGUUGUUCGGAUUCACUGGGCUUAAAGGGCGCGUAGGCGGGCAUCCAAGUCAGGGGUGAAAUCUUUCGGCCCAACCGGAAAAGUGCCUUUGAUACUGGGUGUCUCGAGUGAGGUAGGGGCAUGUGGAACUUCCGGUGGAGCGGUGAAAUGCGCAGAUAUCGGGAGGAACACCAGUAGCGAAGGCGGCACUCUGGGACGGUACUGACGCUGAGACGCGAAAGCGUGGGGAGCGAACAGG